AUGACUGAUAUGAGCAAAUCACAUGAUUUUCCUUCAAUACUAAACUACAAGCAGAUGAUUAAUAAUGUGACAAUGGAAAACAUGGUGAUGUACUGUUUUCAGAGACGAUCAAAAUGUCCCUCCUUUCUUAAGGGAUUGGGUCAAAGAAAAUGUCAAGAAAUUGUUGUGUACAUACAUGUUCAUAACAGUCAUGGAAAAAAGACUAAACUUUGGUUUUCUGAUUUUGCAUAA